rnacentral:rRNA from 1 species
UUACUGCUAUCGGUGUUCGCCUAAGCCAUGCGAGUCAUAUGUUCUUCGUGAACAUGGCGUACUGCUCAGUAACACGUGGAUAACCUGCCCUUGGGACCGGGAUAACCCCGGGAAACUGGGGAUAAUACCGGAUAACGCAUAUCUGCUGGAAUGCUUUAUGCGUAAAAUGGAUUUGUCUGCCCAAGGAUGGGUCUGCGGCCUAUCAGGUAGUAGUGGGUGUAAUGUACCUACUAGCCUACGACGGGUACGGGUUGUGAGAGCAAGAGCCCGGAGAUGGAUUCUGAGACAUGAAUCCAGGCCCUACGGGGCGCAGCAGGCGCGAAAACUUUACAAUGCGGGAAACCGUGAUAAGGGGACACCGAGUGCCAGCAUCAUAUGUUGGCUGUCCAGAUGUGUAAAAUACAUCUGUUAGCAAGGGCCGGGCAAGACCGGUGCCAGCCGCCGCGGUAACACCGGCGGCCCGAGUGGUGAUCGUGAUUAUUGGGUCUAAAGGGUCCGUAGCCGGUUUGGUCAGUCCUCCGGGAAAUCUGACGGCUCAACCGUUAGGCUUUCGGUGGAUACUGCCAGACUUGGAAC